ACGGAGUAGUAGCACAUGUUCUUUCUUUUAGGAACGUGGGGCGAGGAGAGUGAACACGAGGGGUGUCAGUGCAGAAGAUGGAUUUACCUCAGAGAGAACUCGGUUGACUGUCAGUAUGAAGGAUCUGAAGAAAGCACAUUUAGUGCCCGGGACGGUCUUAAAUCAUGACUUUCAGACAUCUGACUUGAAGCCAUUUAUCUGACAAGCCAUUUAUCAAAAGGUGAGAUGGAGACCGGCAGCUGUUGUUAUUCCUGAGGUGGAUAAGAAAAUGGAAGCUGGAGUCCAUCCUGAGGUGCCAGAUUUUAGGGUAAUUGAUGCCCAGAUGAAGAAUGGAAGCAGCACUUUCCUGAGGUAAAUUGCUGGAUGGUGAUGGGAGCUGGAUUUAUUGCUAAGGUAAAAGCUGGAAAUACUUUACAACUUCUCCAUGGAGCUUACAGAAUGUGGGGCUGUAAUCAUUGUAUAUCUAAAAUAAAGUGUAUAAAUGUAUUAA